GAUGAAGAACGCAGCGAAAUGCGAUAAGUAGUGUGAAUUGCAGAAUUCAGUGAAUCAUCGAAUCUUUGAACGCACAUUGCGCCCUUUGGUAUUCCAAAGGGCAUGCCUGUUCGAGCGUCAUUUGUACCCUCAAGCUUUGCUUGGUGUUGGGCGUCUUGUCUCUAGCUUUGCUGGAGACUCGCCUUAAAGUAAUUGGCAGCCGGCCUACUGGUUUCGGAGCGCAGCACAAGUCGCACUCUCUAUCAGCAAAGGUCUAGCAUCCACUAAGCCGUUUUUUCCACUUUUGACCUCGGAUCAGGUAGGGAUACCCGCUGAACUUAAGCAUAUCAAUAAGCGGAGGA
rnacentral:misc_RNA from 1 species